ACAGCAGUAGCCGCGGGAAUACGAGGGGAGCUAGCGUUGUUCGGAAUUACUGGGCGUAAAGCGCGCGUAGGCGGCUUUUUAAGUCAGAGGUGGAAGCCCGGGGCUCAACCCCGGAAUUGCCUUUGAAACUGGAAAGCUAGAAUCUUGGAGAGGUCAGUGGAAUUCCGAGUGUAGAGGUGAAAUUCGUAGAUAUUCGGAAGAACACCAGUGGCGAAGGCGACUGACUGGACAAGUAUUGACGCUGAGGUGCGAAAGCGUGGGGAGCAAACAGGAUUAGAUACCCCGGUAGUCCCUGUCUCUUAUAC
rnacentral:rRNA from 1 species